rnacentral:rRNA from 1 species
UACGUAGGGUGCAAGCGUUAAUCGGAAUUACUGGGCGUAAAGGGCGCGUAGGCGGUUUGUUAAGUCUGUUGUGAAAGCCCCGGGCUCAACCUGGGAAUGGCAAUGGAUACUGGCAAGCUAGAGUGUGGCAGAGGAUGGUGGAAUUUCCGGUGUAGCGGUGAAAUGCGUAGAGAUCGGGAGGAACAUCAGUGGCGAAGGCGGCCACCUGGGACAACACUGACGCUGAGGCGCGAAAGCGUGGGGAGCAAACAGG